rnacentral:rRNA from 1 species
GGACGAACGCUGGCGGCGUGCUUAACACAUGCAAGUCGAGCGGUAAGGCCCUUUCGGGGGUACACGAGCGGCGAACGGGUGAGUAACACGUGGGUGACCUGCCCUCAGCUCUGGGAUAAGCCUGGGAAACCGGGUCUAAUACUGGAUAUGACUCCAUGACGCAUGUUGUGGGGUGGAAAGCCUUGUGCGGCUGAGGAUGGGCCCGCGGCCUAUCAGCUUGUUGGUGGGGUGANGGCCUACCAAGGCGACGACGGGUAGCCGGCCUGAGAGGGCGACCGGCCACACUGGGACUGAGACACGGCCCAGACUCCUACGGGAGGCAGCAGUGGGGAAUAUUGGACAAUGGGCGCAAGCCUGAUCCAGCGAUGCCGCGUGUGUGAAGAAGGCCU